UUGACCUCGAAUCAGGUAGGAAUACCCGCUGAACUUAAGCAUAUCAAUAAGCGGAGGAAAAGAAACCAACCGGGAUUACCUCAGUAACGCAAAAAAAAAAACCCCAAAAAGGGAGAUU
rnacentral:rRNA from 1 species